AGUUAGUAGAGUCAGAGACUCUAUCUCCACUGACCAUUCCUAGAGUUACGUCAUUCCCCACAAAGGGACUGCACAGAGACCAAAAAUCUCCUAAUGGUCCUCUGCAAAUGUGGGUGGUAUAGUGGGAAUAACUCACAGGAGGUUCCAUGCCCAGAUAAGCUCUGUAGAAGAUACAUAACACAAGUAGAUGUAGGUUUACCCGGAAUAUGCCUUUGUGACUUCUCU